UUUUGGUAAAUUGAUUCUCAUUCUCAUUCUCAUUUAUUUUGCUAAGUAAACACAUCAAUGACAUUCCAGCACAUUCUCAUUCCCAUUUAUUUUUGCCAAGUAAACAUUAGAAUCUCAUUCACAUUCCUCAUUUUUAUUCCAGCUCAUUUUCAUUCCCAGCCCAUUCACAUUCCAUGAAGUAAACGCACUAUAAAAGAAAGGAUAAAUUCACUUGAGAAGCCGUGAUUUUUUAAAUCGCCUCAAACUAUCAAUUCAUUAAUUGAGUCCCAAUUCUCAAUUUAAGUUAUAAAUUUUAAAAUAAGAAAUUUUCUAUAAUGUUAUAUAUGUUUCUACAAUAUUGAUAGUGGCAUUGUUGUAAGCCGAUAGAUAUAGUGUUGCAUUACUUUCUAAAUUGAAAAAUCAAAAUUUAGAAUCUUAAUUACCAAUAGUGUUUACUUCACAUUUUAUGAGUGGAAAUUGCAAUCAAUUACAUGGAAUCCAUGCGAAAACGGUUUUGGGAAAUAAGGGUAUAUUUGGAGCA
rnacentral:lncRNA from 1 species